UGCUGCAGCUGCCAGGACAGACGCCACAGCCAGGUGGCUCACACAGACACUGGCUCCCUCUCAGCCCUGAAAACUGCAUGUCUGAGGUCCUGGAGCGGCAGGGCCGGUUCCUCCUGAGGCCUCUCUCCUGGGCGUGCAGACGGCAUCUCCUCCCCCGGUCCUCACGUGGUCUGUGUCCUCAUCUGCUCUUACAAGGACUUCAGUCAGAUGGGGCCAGGGACCAGCCUAGUGACCUACUUUAACAUAAUCAUCUCUGUAGGGAGCCUGUCUCCAAACACAGUCCCACUGAGGUCCCAGGGGUUUGGAUCUCAACACUGGAAUUUAGGGAGACACGAUUCUGCUCACAACACGGGCACUGCGUGUCAUGCAAGCCUUGACUGGCACCUUGACCUCCACAGUUCCCAGGCUCUGGUGAAUCCAAUGUCUAGCCAAAGCUGAGAACCCUGCUCCAGAGGCUCCUCGCAGGCACCCCCUCCAGCAGCAGCACUGGCAGCACCUGGAGCACCUGGAGUACCUAGUGUCCAUCCCCACCGAGGACCUGCUGGGUCAGAGGCUGCGUGUCAGCAGGAUUCCUAAAGAAUUCACACAUAACUCGCAUCUCACACUCACAGCAUGGGAACCCUCUGGAGGGCUCGCCAGGACACAGGUCCCCAAGGCUCUGAUUUGGCAAGCCUGGGAAGGGGCCCAAGAAUCCACCUUUGGGACCAGUCCCUGAGUGACGUAGAUGCCGCUGGUGCAGGGGCCACACACGGAGGACGCCAGGAAGGCCAUCGUGUCAAGCUAAUUGGCCACAGUGGAGCCCGAGAGUCUAUCAGCCAGAUGAGGAACUCAUUUCCAAG
rnacentral:lncRNA from 1 species